GUUGGAGGUUGGUGAGAACACACUUGCAACAGAUUCUGAGUCCACCUGGCAACAGUUAGUUGCUGCUGGGUAAACAGCCUGUCUAAGUCCUGGAAACCAACAUCUUGAUCCCAGAGAGAAAAAAUAAAAGAUAUUGGUGCCUGAAUUUUAAAUCGCAUUACGCAUGUCCUGCAUUUUGCGAUUCCAUGGUGGAAAUAAACAUAACCUGUACGAGUGUUCCACCGCCAGGACUUCCCAGCUAGUGCCCAAAAGCGCACCAUCGUCUGCCCGGGACCUAGCUCGGUAUAGACGGAAGUAAUACAACCCGGGGAGAUACAGCCGUCUAGUGUGUUAUCCCUGGCCGAUCUCUGAAAAAUUUAUUUAAAAGAAGUAGAUCCUCCAGAGCCUCAGCCCUCUCACCAUACGUCUAGGGAGAAAACCCGAUACCCUCCUCUGCCG